CCUUACCUACCCUUGACAUGUCAGAAAAUUUACAGAGAUGAAUUGUGCCCGAAAGGGAAUCUGAACACAGGUGCUGCAUGGCUGUCGUCAGCUCGUGUCGUGAGAUGUUGGGUUAAGUCCCGCAACGAGCGCAACCCUUGUCAUUAAUUGCCAUCAUUUAGUUGGGGCACUUUAAUGAGACUGCCGGUGACAAACCGGAGGAAGGUGGGGAUGACGUCAAGUCCUCAUGGCCCUUAUGGGUAGGGCUUCACACGUAAUACAAUGGCGCGUACAGAGGGUUGCCAACCCGCGAGGGGGAGCUAAUCUCAGAAAGCGCGUCGUAGUCCGGAUCGGAGUCUGCAACUCGACUCCGUGAAGUCGGAAUCGCUAGUAAUCGCGGAUCAGCAUGUCGCGGUGAAUACGUUCCCGGGUCUUGUACACACCGCCCGUCACACCAUGGGAGUGGGUUUCACCAGAAGCAGGUAGUCUAACCGUAAGGAGGGCGCUUGCCACGGUGAGAUUCAUGACUGGGGU
rnacentral:rRNA from 1 species